rnacentral:rRNA from 1 species
AACGCGAAGAACCUUACCAAGGCUUGACAUAUACCGGAAACGGCUAGAGAUAGUCGCCCCCUUGUGGUCGGUAUACAGGUGGUGCAUGGUUGUCGUCAGCUCGUGUCGUGAGAUGUUGGGUUAAGUCCCGCAACGAGCGCAACCCUUGUUCUGUGUUGCCAGCAUGCCCUUCGGGGUGAUGGGGACUCACAGGAGACUGCCGGGGUCAACUUGGAGGAAGGUGGGGACGACGUCAAAUCAUCAUGCCCCUUAUGUCUUGGGCUGCACACGUGCUACAAUGGUCGGUACAAAGGGCUGCGAUGCCGCGAGGCGGAGCGAAUCCCAAAAAGCCGGCCUCAGUUCGGAUUGGGGUCUGCAACUCGACCCCAUGAAGUUGGAGUUGCUAGUAAUCGCAGAUCAGCAUGCUGCGGUGAAUACGUU